CAUGCAAGUCGAACGAGAAAGUUCCUUCGGGAAUGAGUAGAGUGGCGCACGGGUGAGUAACGCGUGGGUAAUCUGCCCUUGGAUUUGGGAUAACUUCGCGAAAGUGGAGCUAAUACCGGAUAGUCUGGCUUUGUAAAAGGAGUCGGUAAAGGAUGCCUCUGCAUAUGCAUUCGUCCGAGGAUGAGCCCGCGUCUCAUUAGCUAGUUGGUAGGGUAACGGCCUACCAAGGCGACGAUGAGUAGCUGGUCUGAGAGGAUGAUCAGCCACACUGGGACUGAAACACGGCCCAGACUCCURCGGGAGGCAGCAGUGGGGAAUAUUGCGCAAUGGGCGAAAGCCUGACGCAGCAACGCCGUGUGAGGGAUGAAGGUUUUCGGAUCGUAAACCUCUGUCAGAAGGGAAGAAGUGGUGCGGGUCCAACAGGCCCGUAUCUUGACGGUACCUUCAAAGGAAGCACCGGCUAACUCCGUGCCAGCAGCCGCGGUAAUACGGAGGGUGCAAGCGUUAUUCGGAAUUACUGGGCGUAAAGCGCACGUAGGCGGCCUUGUAAGUCAGGUGUGAAAUCCCACGGCUCAACCGUGGAACUGCACUUGAAACUGCGGGGCUCGAAUCCUGGAGAGGGCGGCGGAAUUCCUGGUGUAGGAGUGAAAUCCGUAGAUAUCAGGAGGAACACCGGUGGCGAAGGCGGCCGCCUGGACAGGUAUUGACGCUGAGGUGCAAAAGUGUGGGGAGCAAACAGGAUUAGAUACCCUGGUAGUCCACACCGUAAACGAUGGAUACUAGGUGUCGGGGACUUGAUCCUCGGUGCCGCAGUUAACGCGUUAAGUAUCCCGCCUGGGGAGUACGGUCGCAAGGCUGAAACUCAAAGAAAUUGACGG
rnacentral:rRNA from 1 species